GUAAUGGUUUCGACAGGGGCUUUGAAGCUGGAGAAGCGAGCCGCACGGGAUGCGUCAAAUUCCAAAAUUAAAAUUAAACGCUAACAAUAAUAAAUUAGCUUACGCUGCCUAAGAUUUGGCAGUAGUCCGACCGGACGCACCUACACGACCGGACCCGGGCUUCAUCCAUGUAGGAAACGACAGUUGCAAAGCUUUGAGCAUCUGGGCGUAUCAUGAAGCUACCAAAACCAUCAGGGUGUCUGUUCCCGGGUGGCAGAGGGAAUCUUAAAAAACCGACUACGCUCGUAGAAGUACAGGGGAUAGGUCUUUGGACACGGGUUCAACUCCCGUCUGGUCCA
rnacentral:tmRNA from 1 species